AGGAGAGUUUGAUCCUGGCGGAGGCUACUGCUAUUGGGGUUCGAUUAAGCCAUGCAAGUUGAACGAUUCUUCGGAAUCGUGGCGAACGGCUCAGUAACACGUGGAUAACCUACCCUUAGGACUGGGAUAACCUUGGGAAACUGAGGAUAAUACCGGAUAGGCAAUUAUUUCUGGAAUGAUUUUUUGUUUAAAUGUUUUUUCGCCUAAGGAUGGGUCUGCGGCCGAUUAGGUAGUUGGUUAGGUAACGGCUUACCAAGCCAUUGAUCGGUACGGGUUGUGAGAGCAAGAGCCCGGAGAUGGAACCUGAGACAAGGUUCCAGGCCCUACGGGGUGCAGCAGGCGCGAAACCUCCGCAAUGUGAGAAAUCGCGACGGGGGGAUCCCAAGUGCCAUUCUUAACGGGAUGGCUUUUCAUUAGUGUAAAGAGCUUUUGGAAUAAGGGCUGGGCAAGACCGGUGCCAGCCGCCGCGGUAACACCGGCAGCUCUAGUGGUAGCAGUUUUUAUUGGGCCUAAAGCGUCCGUAGCCGGUUUAAUAAGUCUCUGGUGAAAUCCUGUAGCUUAACUGUGGGAAUUGCUGGAGAUACUAUUAGACUUGAGACCGGGAGAGGUUAGAGGUACUCCCAGGGUAGAGGUGAAAUUCUGUAAUCCUGGGAGGACCGCCUGUUGCGAAGGCGUCUAACUGGAACGGUUCUGACGGUGAGGGACGAAAGUUAGGGGCGCGAACCGGAUUAGAUACCCUGGUAGUCCCCU
rnacentral:rRNA from 1 species